CUCCUAAAAAGUAUAACUUUGCUAGAGUUUUAUGUGAGAGGUAUAUAUUAGGACUAUUGGUGUAGGGAUGAAAUCCCUUGAUACUAAUAGAAUGUGUAACGGCGAAGACAACCCUCUAUGUAUAAACUGACGUUGAGGGACGAAGGCUUGGGGAGCAAACAGGAUUAGAUACCCUAGUAGUCCAGGCAGAAAAUCAUGAAUGUUAUAGGUUAGAUUAUAAACUGGCGUAUAAAUGAAAGUGUAAGCAUUCCACCUCAAGAGUAAUGCGGCAACGCAGGAACUGAAAUCAUUAGACCGUUUCUGAAACCAGUAGUGAAGUAUGUUUUUUAAUUCGAUGAUCCUCGAAAAACCUUACCACAAUUUGAAUGGUAUUUUAAUAACUAUUGCUUUUUAUAUUAAUAGUUACUUGGAUAUAACAAGCGUUGCACGGCUGUCUAAAGCUAAUGUCGUGAGAUUUUGGUUAGAUCCAUUAAAUUAGCGUGAUCCCUUGCUUCAUUUAUUGGUAGAAAGUAUCGUGCCCUAUCAAGAGAUAAUUAGCAGAAUCCUUCAUUUAUCAACAAUAACGGCAGUGCUUUAUCUACCAACGAUGAGGAUAGUGCUUGGUUGCGUUAGCAACUGGGAUAAUAGGGAAGAAGACAAGUCAUCA
rnacentral:rRNA from 1 species